rnacentral:misc_RNA from 1 species
UUUACGAAAUGCCGCAACCGUGAUGCAAAGCAAAACGCGGAUCGCGGUCGCGGCGUUCGGUAAAGGUUACAUUGUUAAGGAAAUACAGUUUUAAGAUCGCUUUUCUCACGCUUUAUUUGUUUAUUUCAUCGCCUGAUUAACAAUACUAUGGUACAGUAAACAGAAAUGCUAAGUUACUAUAAGAUGUGCGAUAAAAGUUGGCUUUUUAGCCAAAAAAAAUGUGAUCUCUGAAAAACAUCGAAUGUUGUUUUUUAGUUUAUUGGCUUGAAUAACUGUUUUUCCUCAGAACUAAAAAAUGUCUUUAAAGAAAGAAUCUCCAUUCGAUAUCCAACUUCACUUGGCUGCUUUGAAUGGGAAUCUACCUUUAAUGACAAGAAUACUGGACAGCGGUCGUGUUUAUGUUGACUCUAAAGAUAAAGAAGGUACCACACCUUUAAUUUUGGCGGCUGCUAAUGGACAUUUCGAAUGCGUUAAAGAACUGAUAGAUCAAGGGGCUGACCCUUCAGCGAAGAGAAAUACUGGUACUACUGCUCUAUUUUUUGCAGCCCAAGGAGGAUAUUUGGAUACAGUACGUUUUCUUAUUGACAAUGGAGCUUCUGUAGAUAGUCCAAGUUGUGAUGGAGGCAGACCACUAUUUGUAACUUGCCAGGGCGGACAUAUAGGAGUAGUAAAAGAAUUAGUUAAUAGAGGUGCCAAUGUGAAUGCACAAAUGAAGGACAAAGCCACGCCUUUAUUUAUAGCAGCUCAAAAUGGACAUUACAACGUAGUGGUUUACCUGCUGGCACAUGGAGCAGAACCUGAAAUACGUCGCACAGACGGUGCUACACCGUUAUGGAUUGCAGCUCAAAUGGGGCACGAUCAUAUUGUUGCUUUGCUUUUGAAAGCCGGAGCUUUUGUUGAUUCUGCGAGACAUGAUGGCGCUACAGCCCUAUUCAAAGCAGCUCAUAAAGGACACAUUGCUACUAUUUCGGAAUUGUUAAGAUAUCGACCUAGCUUGGGAAUUCUACCUAAUGGUGAAAGUGCUCUACAUGCAGCCGCUUUCUCAGGAAAUCUCUCUGUAUGUAAGCAGCUUAUCCGCGCAGGCGCAAGGCCUAACCUUAAAAACCAGGAUGGAUUUAGUCCAAUAGAUAUAGCCCAACAACAAGGACAUAAUAUUGUUUAUGAAUAUUUAUCUGAAAAAGUGAAGAGCAGCUAGCCAAAUUAAUAAAGGGGAGAUGUAUAGUGAUGGCCCUUUUGCUGUUAAAAGAAUCCAUUAUAAGAGAAGGUAUUUUGAAAAAAGUUAAUAUUUUAAUAUAGAGAAUGCAAUGUUUCCAAAAGGAUGUCUGAAAAUUUUAUGAUUUACUUUGGAGAAGUUAAAAAACUGCAAUUAUAAAUUUAAUAAAAAUUAAAUUUUAAUUUUCGAUUUGCAGUUGCCCUGUGGAACAUUUUAAUACGCUGUACGAAAACUGUAGACUCUAGUUAAAACAGCCGAAUAAAAUUUAUCUGCGGGGCCGAAAUUUGAUUUCGCUGUCGGACGAUUUUUUGGUUCAUUUAAACUUUUAAUAAUUUAAAAAUCCCUAAAAUUUAGUGUGCUGCGUUAAAUGAAUGCAUGCAACAUAGGAGAACAUAGGGACUGGAUAAAGGUGGGAAAUUUUUAACGCCUUGGAAAAUGUUUCCAGGGUUUUCGGAAUAAAAUAAUUGACAUUCCCAAAUCUGUUGUUUUUCUUGAAUACGCAAAGAAAAACAACAGAAAAACUUUGCAACAUGCGGAUCAUAAGAGCCAAAUAAGGCUGAUGUCGACUCUAGAGAGAAACACAACAUCAACAAUCUGUACCAGGUGGCAGAUAGGAUCAAAAUGGCAGCAGAAUCAAAGGUCUAAUACCUAAAUUCCUUGAUAUAAACGUAUCUUUGGAUAUGAGGCAUUGCAUACAUGACUGCUUAACUUAGGCAGUUAAGCUAAAAUAAGCCUUAUGUUAAAGAGGGAACGAUAAUGUUUCAACUAUCUUCUAAUUCCUCACUUGCGCCGGCCGCUGAGGGUGCAAAUGUAUUUUUGCGCCUUGAACACCGUACGUGACACGACUUAUCGUCUAAAACGUUAACAAUGUCAAUUAUCAUUGUCUUCUCGUCUGCAACGCAAGAAAUUGUAAAAUGAAAUACAGGACACGCCAGAUGCGGCAGCAAUUUUUCGAGCAGAUGUGUUAGGUUCCAUCUCAACACAACCUAACACUACAAUUUCUUCCACUUCAUUUAACACUGGAUGGCGAACUCAAUUUUUUCUGUUUUGCACUGACCCUAUUUCUUGAAACUGUCUUAUCAAAUUCAUUACAUAAGGAUGGAAAGGAUGGAAUGGAAGAAGGAUUACAUAAGAGCCUAGAAGAAUUAAGUAUCACAGAGGAUCAUAGGAAAUCCGUACAGAACCCUAGUUAAGCUAUCAUGAGAAAAGAAAAUUUCUCUUUAUCUCUAAGUCCUAUUCCUAACAAGAAUUAUAUUGCUAACAUUAACGUCCCCCUCGGCAGCUAAUUUUUAUUCGACUAGACAAAUCUAUAGUUUUUUUAACGCUAAUUUGAAUCUCUUUCUCUUUUAGGAAAAGAAUGUAAGAUUGAUGAUAAUAACUAAUUUUUUUGAAUUACUCUUUGAGCAACUUUCGAAAAUGGAAUAAACCCUUAUUUAUUAUUUAAAUAUGUGAAGUAAAUUAGGAUAUUAACAACUUAUACAGCAUAAGGAGAUGUUAUUCGUCACAAUAUUAUGUGUAUUUGUUAUUUAAUAAUAAUAAUAAUAUCAGUAUUAAAAUAAAACACAAGUCUUCCAGUUUUUCGCUGGAUUAGGGGCUUCCAUAUUUAUUUUAUGGUUGUCUCAUAUUUUAUGCUAAACAAUUUUAUAUACCGGCCAUGCAAAUUUCUUUUUUGGGUGUCAAGAAAAUAAUGCUUUAACAUGCAACAUAAAUUCAUAGGUAAGGCGUUAAGAAAAAGAGAGAACAACAUUGUAUUCUUUACCGCUGAGAAGGGAAAUGUAAUACUUGUCGCAGGUAUCGUAAACUCUACAUUCUAUCUGUGUUGCACUAUAGCGAAAAGAUAUCGUUCUCUGUUCAUCUUGCGACUUAGAUUUGUUAUUGUAAGUGAACACAUAAUUUUGGCAUCUAAGAAAUUAGUUGGCCUGGCCGGUAUAGAGAGAAUUAAAUAGCUUUACAUGCCGUGCCUUAAUUUUUUUUUGUAAACCGUUUUAUUCGUAAAAGUUAUAUACAUUUUUGCAUAUCAUUAAUUUUAAUACAAAAAGUACAUUAUUCAUUAGUUUAAGCCAGUAUUUGGAUUUGCAAAAAAUAACAAUAUUACAAUUAACCAUUUGUUAUUUUAUUGAGACAGUUUUAGUAGAUAUUAUACCAGAUAUAUUAGUUGAAUAUGUAAUGUUUUUGUUAAGUGUUAUAUACUUUUAGGAGUGUUUUAAUAAAAUUGUUAAGAACUUAAA